UCAGAGGCCAAUAUCAGCUGUCAAAAUCCCACAUUCCCCUCUCUCCCCUCUUUCAAGUGCAAAACAACCUGCGUCUGAAGAUGUGCCCGAGAUAAAAGGGCACACACAGCGCUGGGGGCUUUGACUCCGUCCUAUUCACGGCCCCACCACCAUGAAUACGGCAAAACCUCCAAUGAAAGUUUUAAUCUCCCCACUGCAUUCAGCUUAAAGAGAAAGGGCUUCCUUUUAACAAUUUCCCCCCUUAAACCUUUUGUGUUGCAAUGCUCCUGAAAACAGCGGAGAUUUCACUCCGACCCGGCGAGGGCUUUACGCCAAAGAAAGCAACGCACCUCCAAGCCUUUGUGCGGGCAUAAGAAGGGCCGACCGGCCCGAGCCCACGGCGCAGCAGCCGCAACCCCAGGGGCGCGCGGGGGCAGACGGUGCCCGCGGCACUGCAGACGCCCGGCUCAGGUUUCUCCACCGAUGGACCUAAUGGGACGGGAGUGAUCACGCCGUGGGCCCCAUGGCUCUCCAAACCGAGGAGUCUGGGCUGGGAGUGCGACAAGGGUGGACGACUUCCCAGCCAGGCCGCUGGUCUGAAACGCACCAAGCCGCACACCAGGAGGCCUAAUCAGGCCCUCUGCCUUCAGGCUGCGCUCAAAGGAAGGAAAAAGAACAACUCUACUCCACGUUCAGCCCUCUCCCAGUCAUCCUCUGGGCGGAACCUCGGACGGGGAAUCUUCACAAGACCCCGGUUAAUUGCGGAGAAGCAGAUUUGGCUGCCUACCCGCCGUUCCCAAGAGGACCUGGAGGAAGGCCGAGCGAUGUUUCGGUGUUUGCCUUCAAAUUUACUCCUUUUGCACGUAAUUAAUGCUACCAGAGUGCUCCUAACAAGAAACGCACCCCCACCCCCAGCUCUUCUAGCAUAAAAGAAAAAGUUUAAUAAUUAUGCCGUUCCCUUCUUUAUAUCCUCCGAAGAGCUGCCCUAAAUGUUCG
rnacentral:lncRNA from 1 species